AGGCUUUACUAAACCGUACUGAAAACCGACACAGGUGGUCAGGUAGAGAAUACUCAGGCGCUUGAGAGAACUCGGGUGAAGGAACUAGGCAAAAUAGCACCGUAACUUCGGGAGAAGGUGCGCUUACAGUAAUUGUAGUCCCUUACGGAUGAAGGUGAAGUAAGUCGAAGUGACCCGCUGGCUGCAACUGUUUAUUAAAAACACAGCACUCUGCAAACACGAAAGUGGACGUAUAGGGUGUGAUGCCUGCCCGGUGCUGGAAGGUUAAUUGAUGGUGUAAUCGCAAGAGAAGCACCUGAUCGAAGCCCCAGUAAACGGCGGCCGUAACUAUAACGGUCCUAAGGUAGCGAAAUUCCUUGUCGGGUAAGUUCCGACCUGCACGAAUGGCAUAAUGAUGGCCAGGCUGUCUCCACCCGAGACUCAGUGAAAUUGAAAUCGCCGUGAAGAUGCGGUGUACCCGCGGCUAGACGGAAAGACCCCGUGAACCUUUACUAUAGCUUGACACUGAACAUUGAAUUUUGAUGUGUAGGAUAGGUGGGAGACUUAGAAGUAGUCACGCCAGUGAUUAUGGAGUCGACCUUGAAAUACCACCCUUUAACGUUUGAUGUUCUAACGAAGAUGACGAAACGUGGUCUCGGACAGUGUCUGGUGGGUAGUUUGACUGGGGCGGUCUCCUCCCAAAGCGUAACGGAGGAGCACGAAGGUUUGCUAAUCACGGUCGGACAUCGUGAGGUUAGUGCAAUGGUAUAAGCAAGCUUAACUGCGAGACAGACAAGUCGAGCAGGUACGAAAGUAGGUCAUAGUGAUCCGGUGGUUCUGAAUGGAAGGGCCAUCGCUCAACGGAUAAAAGGUACUCCGGGGAUAACAGGCUGAUACCGCCCAAGAGUUCAUAUCGACGGCGGUGUUUGGCACCUCGAUGUCGGCUCAUCACAUCCUGGGGCUGAAGUAGGUCCCAAGGGUAUGGCUGUUCGCCAUUUAAAGUGGUACGCGAGCUGGGUUUAGAACGUCGUGAGACAGUUCGGUCCCUAUCUGCCGUGGGCGUAGGAGAAUUGGUUGGGGCUGCUCCUAGUACGAGAGGACCGGAGUGGACGCACCACUGGUGUUCCGGUUGUGUCGCCAGACGCAUUGCCGGGUAGCUAAGUGCGGAAGAGAUAAGUGCUGAAAGCAUCUAAGCACGAAACUUGCCAAGAGAUGAGUUCUCCCAAUCUAAGAGAUAGUAAGGGUUGUUGUAGACUACGACGUAGAUAGGUCUGGUGUGUAAGUGUAGUGAUACAUUGAGCUAACAGAUACUAAUUGCCCGAGAGGCUUAACU
rnacentral:rRNA from 1 species